GCCAUAUAAUCGGAUGGAUGGGAUCCUCGCGCAGGCCAGCUCCUGGGCGACAGCGUAACCCGUCGCUCCUCCCUCUACGGGAGGGCCUGGACGGGGCACGAGAUUUGGAGCGUGGAAGGAACCUGGACCUAAAGGAAACGUACACUAAAGUAUUCAGGGAUAACCAGCAAUUAAGUUGGCAACUUACCCUCAUGAUUCAGGGAAAAAAAGUGUUUUGGACUACACUCGCAACUUUUAUGGCUACUUAAUGGCCACUUCCCCGUUCCCCGAAUGCGGCUGAUUUGGGCUUCCUCACAAGAUGAUAGCUUUAGGGCAGCUGGAGUGCUGAGCUGUCCUAAUUGUUCCAGAAAACAGGGCAGAAGCUGCAUCACCUUUCAGGCCCUAACCUCAGAAGUUACAAAGCAUCCCUUCUGCCACACUCGGUCAACCAACUGCAGGCACCUUGAGGUCCAAGGACGGAACGCAGACCCCACCUCUCCAUGGGCUGUCUCCUGUGCUUUAGACUGUGGUCGUCCUACUGUGCAUCAGGUGUGCUGAGAGCUGAUAACGUGUCUUCGGUUUAUGGGUUGCGGAACCACAAAUAGCCGCGUGAGGAACUAAUAGAGAGACCUUGAGUGGCUGACGGGAUGUGCUGCUCCAGAGUCUGGUAGUUACCUAAGAAAAGCCAUUCUCUUCUUCCUUUGAGAGGGGAGACUUCCUCACCUCCUUCUAUUUCACCUCCUCCCUCCCCGGCUUCCAGAUGGGAAGGAGGCUAAAGGAAAAAAUAAAUAAAAUAAAAUACCAAAGAGCUGGGAAAAUAACUCCUUUUCAGUUCCCAGCGUCUCUGCUAUUUGUUAACCUUCGAAGAGCUGCAAAUGAAUGUUAUCCCUGCCGGCUGGAGCCCGGCACUGGGUCACACCCCCAGGUGGGUCUCCACGGACCAGGCUGCCUCCUGGAAACACCUCUGCCAACAAACAGCUUGUUGCUUUUGUCUUGUCUCUAUAAGCCCCCUCCACUGCUGGUCCCCGCUCAUGCUGCAUAUGAAUUAGCAAAUCAAUGAAGCCAAAGAUUGUGAGGUUGGACAUCCAGCAAAUGGACAAUGACAUAGUUCUGCCUCAGUUUCCCCUUUAUCGUUGUAAGCCUAUAAAAAGGGAGAGAAGGCCGGGCGCAGUGGCUCAUGCCUGUAAUCCCAGCACUUUGGGAGGCCGAGGUGGGUGGAUCACGAGGUCAAGAGAUCGAGACCAUCCUGGUCAACAUGGUGAAACCCCGUCUCUACUAAAAAUACAAAAAUUAGCUGGGCAUGGUUAGCUAAUUAGCGGAGGUUGUGGUGAGCCGAGAUCAUGCCAUUGCACUCCAGUCUGGGUAACAAGAGCGAAACUCCAUCUCAAAAAAAAAAAAAAGGGAGAGAAGCUACAGUUUGGGGAGCUCAGUGAAUGAGGCUGUAGCCCCUCUCAGCUCCCAGCCAAAUAAAAAGCCACUUUCUUCCUCAGUUUUGUGUUCAAGAGGUUUGUUCCCUGCCGUUCUUGCUUCACCUUAAUAAAAGAAUCCUUAUCUUUUUUUUUUUUUUUGAGACAGAAUCUCCCUGUCACCCAGGCUGGAGUGCGGUGGUGUGAUCUUGGUUCACUGUACCACUGCCUCCCAGAUUCAAGCAAUUCUCCUGCCUCACCCUCCCAAGUAGCUGGGACUACAGGUGCCCACCACCAAACCUGACUAAUUUUUAUAUUUAUAGUAGAGAAGGGGUUUCACCAUGUUGGCCAGGCUGGCCUCGAACUCCUGACCUCAGGUGAUCUGCCCGCCUUGGCAUCCCAAAGUGCUAGGAUUACAGGCAUGAGCCACUGCAUUCGGCCUGUUGCUCUUCUUUCACCCUCCCUUCCCCUCCUGCCUCUGGCUUCUCCAGAGUUGAGAUGGUACGAGGAAGGAAAGGAGUCAAUUUUACAUGACAGGGGCUCACGGAGCCCUCUGUGUGACAUGGUACCUAAAUGCUGGCCUUCUCUUGGGUGGGGCAUAGUUGAGGUUCCCCAGGUCUCCUACAGGGACCUCUCCACUGCCCCUUUCUCUGGCAUCUGCAGUGCACUCUCCAGUCGACCUCUUGCACAGUACUCUGCCCUUUUGCCCCAUGGCAUCUUACCAUUGGCAUCUUCUUGCCCUGCAGGAACUCCUCUUGGGCAGGUUCCAUCUGGAUGGCUCAAGCUUGGGUACUUUCCAUGCUAUCCUCUUGGCCCAUGGGAAACUCCCACAUUCUUAGCAUGCCAGGUGCUAAAAGUAAAGCCUACCCACUAGUGCCACCAUUCCAGGUCUGGGCUCCAGCCAACCUCCCACAGUCACCAAGCUGUCAGCAGACAUUUGUCUCUAGGUUCACUUACAUCUCCCAAAUACCAGUAAGUUCAUGUCAGGCUCUUCCAGAACGCUCGUUCAGUGACUUGUUUGUGGUCUUUGACGAUGCUGGGUCAGGAGUUCUGCCACCCAGGAAACAUCCAGCCAAGGACUCAGAUGCCCAUCUCAGUUUCUUACAGGCACUACCAAUCUACUGGUACAGUCGUACCUUAUCCUGCAACUUCCCCUCAUCCCUAAAGAACGAGAAAGCAGGAAUAUCGAAGCACUCCAGACAGGUCAGCACCAACAACAGCUCAGCUCCAUAAGAGUGCUCUUUCCUGUGUCAAAUGUGUCAUCUCACAGAGGCUGCAGGUGGCAGUGGGGGCCAUGGCAGCUGGAAGAGUUGUGCUGUCCUUUGCAUGGCCAGAGAAGUAUUUUUCUACAAUGCGGGGGCACCUGUAUGCACUUCUGUCCUUAAGACUCAGCUCAAACUCCAA